rnacentral:tRNA from 1 species
GCGGGAGUAGCUCAGUUGGUAGAGCGCAACCUUGCCAAGGUUGAGGUCGAGAGUUCGAGGCUCUUCUCCCGCUCCA